UUGCCUCUCUUCUUCAACCAUCUUCGUAUUUAUAUCUUCUUCUUCACUAUGCAUACCCAUAAACUUUGCUAAUGGCCGCAUUUCUCUUUUCUCCUUCGACUCUUCUAAUUUUUACUUUGGUUUUUGACGUGGAAAUUAUUAUAUGGUAAGUGUUUCUCAAGGAUCCAAUUGUUCUCUCCGGUAAAUUAACAUUUUUUUUUGUGUCGAUCGAUAGUCACUUUUGGUUUUGUUUCUUGGUUUUCUGGAGCUAAGUGGAGAUAAUAGUCGAACAAGAGUGAUUUUAUGUAAGGUAACGCGAGAUAUUAGUGCGGUUCAAUCAAAUAGUCGUCCUCUUAACUCAUGGAGAUCGGUGUUGUUCGAUUGAGCCGUGCCAAUAUCACGCGGUAAACCAAAAUGGCAAAGAUCGAUCGUUAUCAUAACCUUUGAAGGUAUCAGGCUUCGAAGGUAUAGAAACAAGCAACACAAAACCCAAAAUCUAAGUACAACUGCGAUUUGAACUUCUAUUUUUAGCAAGUAUUUAAGGGAGUAAAAGUACUAGCUAGAAAGUAAAACUAUAUUUUGCUUUACUAUCGUAAUGAUAUUGCAACAAACCAAAAACUAUUAAGUGUUUAAUUUGUAAUUAACUAUCUACACCUUUUGUCUAUAAUUUAGCUGUGGAAUGAUUUCUCUUAUUUGUUAUUUAAAUAAAGGUGUAUGUUUAUACGCUUGUUGUUAAUAAUCUUACGAAAACCAGGAAGUCUGUUUUGGACUUAUCCUCUCAAAUAAGGUUAAAUUUAUGAAA